UUCUCUUGUCUGGUGCACUCUUUUCACUUUUUAUUUUUCAACAGUAGAGGAGACAAGAAAUAGGCUUAGCAGUCAUGUGGUGAGUGCCAAUACAAUUGUCACAUUCAAAAAUAGACUAGAUAAAUUCAUGGACAGCGAUAUUAGGUGGGGUUAGAUACACGGGAGCUUAGGGUCAAAGGAGCUGCCUCGUACAGGCCUACCGGCCUCUUGUAGACUCCUGCGUUCUUAUGUUCUUAUGUUCUUAUGUAAUGCACAAAAAGAAAAACUACGCUGGUGAUUGCUGGGUGUCAAGAGGGUAAUAUUGUUUUCCUCCUUUCUGGUACAGUAUUUUGUUUGUUCGUUAUUUUCUACAGUGGAGAAGACAGGAACAAGGUUGAACUAAUGCAUUGAAAGAAAAACUACCCCGGUGAUUGCUGGGUGUCAAGAGGGUAAUAUUGUUUUCCUCCUUUCUGGUACAGUAUUUUGUUUGUUCAUUAUUUUCUACAGUGGAGAAGACAGGAACAAGGUUGAACUAAUGCAUUGAAAGAAAAACUACCCCGGUGAUUGCUGGGCGUCAAGAUGGUUGUGCUGCUAGCUAGAGGCCGCCAAGGACCUGAGAACAGCAUGCAGGCUCAACACUGCUGGACAGACCAACACAAGUGGCUCGGGAAGUGCAGCCGUCCAGGCCGGUGUGAGCCUUGCUGUGUUGUGCCAAACUCUGUGUACAUAAGACAGAAGUAAGUUGUGCAGUGUAAAAAGCCAUUAGGUAGUGUAGUAUCUGUACAUUUCCGUAAAUAAAGACUGAUGCAAUA